AUGGGAGGAGAUGAAUUUCACUCACCUGCUUCCCUGCUCAGCCUGGCAAGUUCUUUUUCUGAAUCUAUACUGACACAGCCACCCUCCAUCUCUGCAACUCUUGGAUCAACAGUCAGACUUACUUGCUCCCUGAAGAGCGGCAUCAGCGUUGGCAGUAAACAUAUUUACUGGUACCAGCAGAUGCAGGGGAGCCCUCCUCGGUUUUUCCUGCGCUACUACUCAGACUCAAACAAGUACCUCGGGUCUGGAGUCACGAACAGAGUCUCUGGAUCCAAAGAUACCUCCAAAAAUGCUGCAGAGUUGCACAUCUCUCAGCUAAAAGCAGAGGAUGAGGCUGACUAUUACUGUGCCAUCUGGGAAAGUAAUGCAUCUCACAGUGAUACAGGCAGAUGGGGAAGUAGGCAAAAAUCUUAG